AUAGUGCCACUCCCUGGGCCAAGCACAUUCAAACCACCACAGGGUCCAUCUUUGAUUCUCACGGACACAGCUAAUUGACAUGAAGAUCAGUGCCCAUCAUAGUAUGUACAAGUGUGGAGUGCCAUUGAGUUGUCCGUGGGAUCGGAUGCUAUGAUGGGCAGAAAGAACAUUUACAUGGUGCUUGAGGAGGACUCAGCGAUGGCUCCUGCCCUUGGUGCCCAGCACAGCAGAGCACAUGCCUAUGAUGGGCUUCCAAGACACACACUUCUACCCUGUGCUGAAGGGACAACUGAAACAGCUUGUUCCCAAGACAGCUAUGGGACACAAAGUUGGCGGUUGGUGUGGCUCCUGCAGGGAACCUGGCCACUCUCCAGCAAGCCUCCUGCUGGUGUUUCCCCAAAGUGGAUUCCUGGCUUGUGGAAGAGUCAAGAUGGAGGCUCCCUAGGGUGAGCAGGUAUGGGGAGUAAAACACCAGUUCCUCUCCGGCCCCAAGGAUCCAACCUGAGCUCCUCUGAAGGGGAGGAGGGAGAGGAGACAAUAGCCCCUGUGUGUGUGUGUGUGUGUGUGUGUGUGUGUGUAGAGACACUUGCCUGGGCACACUGGUCAGGGAAGGAACCCAGCGGGCUCAUGUUCUGACACCUGGACUGGUAGACAGGGACUCACAUGGGCAGGUGGUGGCUUGUGUAGGCAGGCAAGCUUUCGGGGAUAAGGACCCAGCUCUCCUUUGCUGUGUGAGUUUUGCUUAGAUUCACUGUAUGGCCUUACAGCUUUUGUGGGCAUGCUCAGACAGGUCUUUUGCUUUAUGGUCUCAUUAAAUACAGAACCAUCACUGGCUGAUCUUGGGGAGGACCUGCGUUCCGUUCCCAGCAUCCACAUGGCAACCUACAACCAUCCAUAACUCCAGUUCCAGGGGACCUGGUGUCUUCUGGCCUCUGCAGGCUCCAGGCAUGCACAAGGCGUACAGACAUGCUUUCAGGUGAAACACCCGGACACAUAAAUAAAAGUAAACACAUUGAAAAAUGGAGCCAUCAAGGUGACAGGAUUGGAAUCUCAUGUGAAGGCCUUAGUGGGGUAAGUGUCAUGGAAGGCACAGCAGUGUCCCCCAACCAUACUCUUUCUCUUGUUUUUCCUGGAACAGGGACUCUUAGUGACAUGAAACCCUGAGGCUUCCUCUUCCAGGACAUCCAUACUGCCUGUUCUUCCUCUUAAUCUCUUUAAAGCUUUUGCAUAUUUGUUCAUCUCUUUACCCAGUGUUCCUCCAGCCUUUUUGACACAUGGGUCACAGGGACACCAUCAGACUCUGAGCCACCGUUCUCCAGGUUCUUCAAGAUGCCAUCCCUUCAAUGAAAUGCGUGGUUCCCACCCUUCUGACCCUUGGUGCUUUCCCUCUGGUCUCCAGGGCUCCUCUCACUGUUGAGGGAGGCCAACUAUCAGGUGGGCAGUCACUCUGGGCAGAGUAAGGAGAGGGGCCUUGAACUCCCUGCCUCUUGGAUCUCAGACUCAGUCAUCUCUCCUGUGUUCCACGUUGCUUCUGGACAAUUGUUGCAGGCAAUGAGUUGGGUGGGGUGGGCCCUUCUUGGUUACCAUUCUCUCCAGGGUUUCAGUCCUUCACUGCCUGGUGGACGGUGUCUUGAAGGCAGUGUGUCAUGUAUUUGGUUCAGUUCCAGCCUUCAGCAACUCUGCCUUGGCUGGGAGCAAAAUUACCUGCUAAGGUAUAAUUCCACAACCUGAGAAUGGUCUACAAGAUGUUUUUACCUCCAAUGAAAUGCAUGGUUCCCACUUCUCCGACCUUUGGUGCUCUACCCCGGCCUCUGGGGGUCCCCUAAUUGCUGAGAUUCAGAGGCACCCCUCCUUUUCUUACCAACAAGCUUGGUGGAGGUUCACUGAAAGCCAUUUUUUUCCAGAGAUUCUUUUUUCUGACAUUAGCUUGGAGAUGUGGGAACCAGGGCCAAACUUUUUGAAGCAAGUAGGUUCCUUCUCCUACCUAUCCUGGGAAUCUUUAUAGCUCCAAGAUGUCUCCUGCAUAGGGCGCUGAUCUCAGUCUCCAUGGCCCUAAAGCCUCUGACAGAUGCACCUUUUCUAAGGGCUGCCUAGCCUCUGGAGCACCUGGACCUAUAGGCUGGGCAGCCACGGCCGGGAGGAUUUCCUUCUAUGCUGAGUAAAGAGAGUCAGACACAGGACUGACUGAGCCUGUGAGAAGAAAUGACUGCGUGAAGGCCCAGUCAUCCACCCCGGUGCUGUUAUAUGAGAUGUGCUGACUCUCACUUCCUCAGGGAGAGGGAGGCUGUUCUUGUUGUUGGUGUCCCGACCCUUCACUGUGCAUUUGAGCAGGGGAGAGGAGUCUUAGAGACUGUAGCCCACUGGGGUGGGCAUCUGAACACACACACACACACACACACACACACACACACACAGGGUCAUGUUGACCCUCUGCAAUUUUGUAGGAGACACAGUGAACAUUUCAAAAUCCCAGAGUCAGUGACCCAGCAGCCGCUAUAUACACUGACAUAUACAGAAAUGGUAAUUUUCAGGCUCUCAUUUCUAGGGUUUUGUAGAGCCCCGUCAUUGGUCAGCUUUUAGCCAUCCGUGUGUGCAACUGGCGGUAGCUCUGGGUCUAGGUCCUUCCUGAGUACAGUUUGGGCUGUUUCUCUUCUUUGUUUGGAGGAGUAUUGGGCACUGGGCAUGCUCUCUGUCAGGCAUUGCACACGAGUGUGUCUGUGCAGUCCCUCAGGUUAGGUGUGAAGGAAGCUUCCUCCUUGGGCUUUUCUGCAUAGCUUGGAGUGGGAGGGACUUGUGGGUCUUGUACUUCCUGAAGGCACCUCCUGCCUAGGUCUCAGGGACUGUUGGGACAUCUCUCUUCUCAGACUAGGAUGGAUGGGAUUCCCUGCCCCCAGACAGACCAUCUAGUUGCAGGACAUGGCACUGAAGAAGGUGGAUCCUGCCUAUAGAAGCUUCCUUGGCCAUGAAAGAUGGGCAGAACUCACCGUGACAAGCCUCGUUUUCCAGCAGAAUCCACCCCGUGACCCACGAGCUCCUCUGGGUACUUUGGCAUGUUUUUCUUUUCUGCUCGGAGACAGAUGGAUGAGCAGGCAAGGAAGCAUAGCAGACUCAUCAGGAAACAUUGAGUAAGGCCUGGCAGAACAUGGAUUCGGCUGCUGCAGGAACCAACCAAGGGAAAGCAGAAUUCAAUGAGUGUGGCCGAGACGUUGAUGGGACCAUGUCACCCAGGGUGGCCCUUCUGGUCACUGGAGUUCACAGAUGAAGGGAUAAAGUGGGGGCGUGGGAGCCUGGUGGAUAACUCCCUCAUAGCAGAAGGAUUUGCAGACUGUCAUGCUGGCCUGGGAAGAGUAGGGGUAUGGUAGAACACAGUUGGGGCAGCUUCUAACGAGGAUGAUUGUCUGACAGGUUGACAGUGACCUUGGCUCUCUUGGUCAGGAGGCUGUAGGAACAAGCCCCUUCCUCGCUGCUGAGCUGGACCAGAGGGAGACAAUAACAGCUCCUCUGUGUGUAUAAGCCCUGACCUGUUCAGUGGGCGCCAUUCUGAAAUGAGGGUACCGUCAAAGACAGAGGAGAGCUCUGGGCAUCAAGGAGGGCUGGGGGGGGGGGCUGAGGAUCUGGAGGUAGACUGUCAAUCUCGUUAUUUCUAUCACUGGCAGACAGACUGGAGGAGGGAGGCUUGGGGCCCCUGCUGAGAGCACACACUCCAGACUGCUCUCCCCAAUUCUUAGCCCGAGGGACACACCGUGCACCCUAAGAAUGACCUUGCCUUUGGGACUGGCUGAUGGUCCCGGUGGACACUUGACUCAGAGCUCAAGAAAGGCUUCUGAAGAGCCAGCAGAGUUGUGUGGGUUAGUCCCCCACAGGCCAGCACAGAUGUCCCUCAGCACAUCUCUGAGGAACAGAUGACUUGUAGGGACGUAGACUUUGACACUGCAGCUGGCAAGACUCGCGGCAAAGUCUUCAGCACACGUACAAGAGGCUGGGGUCUAGGAGAUGAAAGGGACCCACUGGACAUGUUCCUCUAGCACAGAACACGCUUAUAAACGGCCUGUCUGUAGCAGAGAGCGCGCAGAAAGGCAGAAAGGCUGUCAAUGAUCUUCUCAGAAGGACUCGGUCGCUCUGCUCUGUCUCGCUCUUACCGUUGCCAGACCCUUCUUCAAGUAAAUUCAGGUUUCUCAGUGCUGGGAACUUGGACUUCAGCUUGUGUUUUUGGAGGGAGGCAUGGUUUGCCCCAUACCAUGAAUAUUUUCUUGCAGGGUGGCCUUCCUUACUGUGUUUGACUCUAGGCUU